GGCUCAGGACGAACGCUGGCGGCGUGCCUAAUACAUGCAAGUCGAGCGAAUCGAUGGGAGCUUGCUCCCUGAGAUUAGCGGCGGACGGGUGAGUAACACGUGGGCAACCUGCCUAUAAGACUGGGAUAACUUCGGGAAACCGGAGCUAAUACCGGAUACGUUCUUUUCUCGCAUGAGAGAAGAUGGAAAGACGGUUUACGCUGUCACUUAUAGAUGGGCCCGCGGCGCAUUAGCUAGUUGGUGAGGUAAUGGCUCACCAAGGCGACGAUGCGUAGCCGACCUGAGAGGGUGAUCGGCCAC
rnacentral:rRNA from 1 species